rnacentral:rRNA from 1 species
AUACGUACUGCGCGACCGUUAUUCGGAAUCACUGGGCUUAAAGGGUGCGUAGGCGGCUUAUCAAGCCCGUGGUGAAAUGUCCCGGCCUAACCGGGGACGUGCUUCGGGGACUGAUAGGCUUGGGCGAUCUAGGGGUCUGUGGAACUCCCGGUGGAGCGGUGAAAUGUGUUGAGAUCGGGAGGAACGCCGGUGGCGAAAGCGACAGACUGGGGAUUGGCCGACGCUGAGGCACGAAAGCUAGGGGAGCGAACGGGAUUAGAUACCCCGGUAGUCCUAGCCGUAAACGCUGGGCACUAGUUCGAGGGGGCUUCGGCCUUCUCGGGCGCAGCGAAAGCAGAAGUGCCCCGCCUGGGGAGUAUGGUCGCAAGGCUGAA